UACGGGGGGGGCAAGCGUUGUUCGGAAUUACUGGGCGUAAAGGGUGCGUAGGCGGCUUUGUAAGUCAGUGGUGAAAUAUGGCAGCUCAACUGUCAAGGUGCCAUUGAUACUGCGGAGCUUGAGUACAGAUGAGGUAGGCGGAAUUGACGGUGUAGCGGUGAAAUGCUUAGAUAUCGUCAAGAACACCUAUAGCGAAGGCAGCUUACUAGGCUGUAACUGACGCUGAGGCACGAAAGUGUGGGGAUCAAACAGG
rnacentral:rRNA from 1 species